AUGGCAAAGGUAUUUGAUGCAUCUGAGAAAGUAUAUCCUUACCUUAGGGAUUACCAUAAUCUGUUAUGGAUGAGGUGCAUGUUCAACCCUGCCAUCAAGUGUGACUACAUAAAUAACAAUCUUGUCGAGUGCUUCAACGCUUGGGGGCGAGAUAUCAAGGACUUGCCGAUUGAUCAGCUAGCUGAUAAGAUUAGAGAGAUGAUUAUGGAACUGUUUAGAAAAAGAAGAAUGAUUGGAGAAAGAUUUACAGGGAUAAUACUUCCAUUUGUCAUACACCAACUAAAUGCAAAGACUCGAGGACUAGGUCAUCUCAAGGCUAAAGCAUCAGCUGAUUGGAGUGGGGAAGUGAAAAAUGCUAACAAAGAGGAUGAAAGACAUGUGGUCAAAACUCUCACACAUGAGUGUAAAUGUCUGCAAUGGCAGCACACGGGCAAGCCUUGCGACCAUGCACUAGCCUUCAUAAAUGUCUUGCAAGCUCGCAACUUUGUUAACAUGGAGGACUAUGUACAUGAGUACUACUCAGUUAGCAGAUUUAGGGCAGCAUAUGAAGGUGUAAUUGAGCCCCUUACGGACAAGAAUCAAUGGCCACACGUGGACACAGGCUUUGUGUUGCGUCCACCAAUUCCAAUAGGCAAGAAGAAAGGUGCUGGAAGAACAAGAAAACAGAGGAUAAAGAGUUGGUGGGAAGGUGGAUCAAGGAAAGGAUCCUUGAACAAAUGCAAAAAAUGCGAGGAGGUAGGACAUAGAGAAGCUGGUUGUCCUCAAAAUGGAACAAAGAAAAGGAAAAGUAGGGGGAAAAAGAAUCAAUCUCCAUGGUUUGAUGUUUCAGUUAGCAAUGCCGUUCCAUCUACACCAACCAAGAGCAAGAAUGAUGCCACUUGUAGCAGUCCUGGAGCUGUCACAAGAAGCCAAGCUGCAGCUCAAGCUAGUCCUGGACCUGUCACAAGGAGCCAAGCUGCUACCCCACCACCAAAACCUCCAACAAAAGAAAAGAAGAAGAAAAUGACACCUAAAAGGAAGAAAUUAAGUGACCUGUGA
rnacentral:rRNA from 1 species